GACGGAGGAUGCAAGUGUUAUCCGGAAUCACUGGGCGUAAAGCGUCUGUAGGUGGUUUAAAAAGUCCACUGUUAAAGAUUGAAGCUUAACUUCAAAAAUGCCGUGGAAACUUUUAAACUUGAGUAUGAUAGGGGUAGAGGGAAUUUCCAGUGGAGCGGUGAAAUGCGUAGAUAUCAGGAGGAACACCAAUGGCGAAGGCAGCUCGCUGGGACGGUACUGACGCUGAGGCGCGAAAGCUAGGGGAGCAAACAGG
rnacentral:rRNA from 1 species